rnacentral:rRNA from 1 species
AACGUAGGAGACGAACGUUAUCCGGAGUUACUGGGCGUAAAGGGCGUGUAGGCGGUUUGUUAAGUCUGGCGUGAAAGCUCUCGGCUAAACCGGGAGAGGUCGUUGGAUACUGGCGAACUAGAGGAUGGUAGAGGCGUGUGGAAUUCCGGGUGUAGUGGUGAAAUGCGUAGAGAUCCGGAGGAACACCAGUGGCGAAGGCGACACGCUGGGCCAUACCUGACGCUAAAGCGCGAAAGCUAGGGGAGCGAACGGG